UUAACUUAUUAUAAUGUUACUCAGACGACACAAAAAUCAAGAGUUUAGGGUUCUCUGGCAGGCGCGGACCAGCCUAAGCCAGCGGUCAAAAGACGGGCCUGCCAAAGCAACAAAGGUAAUGUAAACAAAGGGUGGGAGAUCUACCCCGAAGGGCAAUUUCUCUGUAAUGAUCCUUCCGCAGCGGAAGUGUAGCUGCUAUUUCUAGCAGCCUCCCGAUCAUAUCUUAACCCUAAUGGGCCACCUCCAUUUGAUCUGUGAGCCUAUGUCUAGGCUGCUGGUAUUACAAGUGUAAAUCCCAGCACAGUGGAGAUGUUGCCUGCUAAUGCAGACUUUUUAUUCUGGCGAACCUGCAAGAGAUGUUCACCUACGGAAA
rnacentral:misc_RNA from 1 species